UAUUUUAUGAUCUUCAAACUUUUUAACACUAAGGGCUUUAGUAAAUGGGUCGGUCAAGUUCUUCUCUCACUCGAUCUUCUAAAGGUCAAUGUCACCUCAAUCUAUAAUCUUUCAGAUCAGGUGGUAGCGAUGCAGUAUGUGCUUGGUGUGCUGAUGGGACUUCAGUUCUUUUUUUAAGCAAUGGUGCUAUUGCUGUUGUAGUAUAACAAGACUGGACCAUC
rnacentral:lncRNA from 1 species